rnacentral:misc_RNA from 1 species
ACUUUCUUCUGAGCCGUGGGAUCGUAGGUCGAUUUCACGAAUAGCACUAAGAGCAAAAUGGGAAAAUCCAACCCCUACAAGGAUUUUGUGUCUGGCGGAGUCGGUGGCGUGUGUCUGGUAGUCGCCGGACAUCCAUUGGACACCAUCAAGAUGAAUUUGGUGUCAUUGUGCAGGGACGAUGAGAUACUAUAUAUACUGUGGAAUCAUCAUUAAUCGUGGGAUACCAAUGAUUGUGGCUUUUGUGGGUAACCCUUACCCACAAAUUUACAUCGUCACGAAUUUACACAAUCAUUUGUUUAACAUUUAUGAAAAUUAUCCUGAAAUUAUGUCCCCAUGAACCAUGAAAUUAUUUGGCUAUACCCAUAAACAUUGACCCUCACGAAUAAACAUAAUUCCACAGUAGUAUAUACAAAAAAACGUCCCUGGUGUUAUAUAUACAAAAGUGAAUAAAAUCAAUGGAAGAAUAUACAAUUUAGGAACCAGACUUGGAAUGCCAAUUCAUUCAUACUUUAUUGAUAUUAAAAAAAUUACCUUACUAGAAAUUUAAUCAUGUAUUAUCACAUUAAUUUGUAAAAUUUACCCAUGAUAUUAAGGUCCGCCUACAGACCAUGCCACCCAUAAAACCAGGAGAGACGCCGCUGUAUAAAGGAACCUUUGACUGUGCCAUGCAAACCAUAAGGAAAGAAGGUUUCUUUGGUUUAUACAAAGGAAUGUCCGCCCCUGUCGCUGGGGUCACACCUAUGUUUGCUGUGUGUUUCUUAGGAUUUGGUGUCGGUAAAAAACUACAACAGAAAUCUCCUGACCAGGAUCUCACAUAUCUUCAAUUCUUCAAGGCUGGAAUGUUAGCAGGUGUUUUCACAACAGCAAUCAUGACUCCAGGGGAGAGAAUCAAGUGCCUAUUACAGAUUCAAGCCGAUUCUAAAGUGAAAAAGUACGCCGGACCCAUUGACUGCGCGAAACAGUUGUACAGAGAAGGUGGCAUUAGGAGUAUAUACAGAGGAACAGCGGCGACUCUACUCAGGGAUGUACCAGCCUCAGGGAUGUACUUUAUGACAUACGAAUGGCUCCAACAUGUAUUGACACCUAAGGGACAUGAUCGAAAUGAACUAAGUGUGAGUCGGACGUUAACUGCAGGUGGAUUUGCUGGGAUGUUCAAUUGGUUGGUCGCGAUACCACCAGAUGUGCUCAAGUCACGACUACAAACAGCCCCGGCAGGAACCUAUCCUAACGGAAUCAGGGAUGUGUUCCGAGAGCUGCUCCGGAAUGAAGGCAUCUUUGCUCUGUACAAAGGUGUCAUUCCUGUGAUGUUAAGGGCAUUCCCAGCAAACGCUGCAUGUUUCCUUGGUUACGAGGUCACCAUGAAAGGUCUGGAUUGGCUAUUCCCUGAAUGAUGUAGGACUAGACAAUUUUAGGAUCAGAUUUAUUUAAAUAGUUGAGAGACACUUUCCAAUAUACAGAUACUGCCUAUAAUUGAAACAUAUUUGUAUAUAAUGAAUUUUGUUAUGAUUGAAAUGAAAUAAAUGUUAUAAAC